UACGUAGGGCGCAAGCGUUGUCCGGAAUUAUUGGGCGUAAAGAGCUCGUAGGCGGCUUGUCACGUCGGGUGUGAAAGCCCGGGGCUUAACCCCGGGUCUGCAUUCGAUACGGGCAGGCUAGAGUGUGGUAGGGGAGAUCGGAACUCCUGGUGUAGCGGUGAAAUGCGCAGAUAUCAGGAGGAACACCGGUGGCGAAGGCGGAUCUCUGGGCCAUUACUGACGCUGAGGAGCGAAAGCGUGGGGAGCGAACAGG
rnacentral:rRNA from 1 species